GACGGAGGGGGCUAGCGUUGUUCGGAAUUACUGGGCGUAAAGCGCGCGUAGGCGGCCGGUCAAGUUAGGCGUGAAAGGCCUGGGCUCAACCUGGGAACGGCGCUUAAGACUGAUCGGCUGGAGUCCGGGAGAGGGUGGUGGAAUUCCCAGUGUAGAGGUGAAAUUCGUAGAUAUUGGGAGGAACACCGGUGGCGAAGGCGGCCACCUGGCCCGGCACUGACGCUGAGGCGCGAAAGCGUGGGGAGCAAACAGGAUUAGAUACCCUGGUAGUCCACGCCGUAAACGAUGAGUGCUAGAUGCUGGGGGGUUUACCCUUCGGUGUCGCAGCUAACGCGUUAAGCACUCCGCCUGGGGAGUACGGCCGCAAGGUUAAA
rnacentral:rRNA from 1 species